AAAUGGUUCGCGAACGAGCGAUUAAUAGGGAACAGGGUGUAAGUCCCUGACAGUCCCGCUGCUGUGAGUUCCGUCAUAUCAUCUGCCAGAUGCCACUGGGGCGUACCCCCGGGAAGGCGGCAGACGAUUUCCGGACGAGUCAGAAGACCUGCCAUCUU
rnacentral:ncRNA from 1 species